UACAGAGGUGGCAAGCGUUGUUCGGAAUUACUGGGCGUAAAGGGCGCGUAGGCGGCCCGAUAAGUCCCGCGUGAAAGCCCCCGGCUCAACUGGGGAACUGCGCAGGAAACUAUCGGGCUUGAGUUCGGGAGAGGGAAGCGGAAUUCCGGGUGUAGCGGUGAAAUGCGUAGAUAUCCGGAGGAACACCGGUGGCGAAGGCGGCUUCCUGGACCGACACUGACGCUGAGGCGCGAAAGCUAGGGGAGCAAACGGG
rnacentral:rRNA from 1 species